GCCAGAGCCAUAUCUCCAUGCAGUUCUCUCCUGGUUUCCUACUGAAGCUAAGCAGGGUUGAGCCUGGCUAGUAACUGGAUGGGAGAAGUACUGGGGAAACUAAAGUUGCUGCUGGAA
rnacentral:rRNA from 1 species